AGAGUUUGAUCCUGGCUCCAGAUUGAACGCUGGCGGUAGGCUUAACACAUGCAAGUCGAGCGGGGGAGAUUGCUUCGGUAAUUGACCUAGCGGCGGACGGGUGAGUAAUACUUAGGAAUCUGCCUAUUAAUGGGGGACAACAUCUCGAAAGGGAUGCUAAUACCGCAUACGCCCUACGGGGGAAAGCAGGGGAUCACUUGUGACCUUGCGUUAAUAGAUGAGCCUAAGUCGGAUUAGCUAGUUGGUGGGGUAAAGGCCUACCAAGGCGACGAUCUGUAGCGGGUCUGAGAGGAUGAUCCGCCACACUGGGACUGAGACACGGCCCAGACUCCUACGGGAGGCAGCAGUGGGGAAUAUUGGACAAUGGGGGGAACCCUGAUCCAGCCAUGCCGCGUGUGUGAAGAAGGCCUUAUGGUUGUAAAGCACUUUAAGCGAGGAGGAGGCUCCUGUAGUUAAUACCUACAGAGAGUGGACGUUACUCGCAGAAUAAGCACCGGCUAACUCUGUGCCAGCAGCCGCGGUAAUACAGAGGGUGCGAGCGUUAAUCGGAUUUACUGGGCGUAAAGCGUGCGUAGGCGGCUUUUUAAGUCGGAUGUGAAAUCCCCGAGCUUAACUUGGGAAUUGCAUUCGAUACUGGGAAGCUAGAGUAUGGGAGAGGAUGGUAGAAUUCCAGGUGUAGCGGUGAAAUGCGUAGAGAUCUGGAGGAAUACCGAUGGCGAAGGCAGCCAUCUGGCCUAAUACUGACGCUGAGGUACGAAAGCAUGGGGAGCAAACAGGAUUAGAUACCCUGGUAGUCCAUGCCGUAAACGAUGCCUACUAGCCGUUGGGGCCUUUGAGGCUUUAGUGGCGCAGCUAACGCGAUAAGUAGACCGCCUGGGGAGUACGGUCGCAAGACUAAAACUCAAAUGAAUUGACGGGGGCCCGCACAAGCGGU
rnacentral:rRNA from 1 species